AAGAGACAGCAGUAGCCACGGUAAUACGAAGGGUGCAAGCGUUAAUCGGAAUUACUGGGCGUAAAGCGUGCGUAGGCGGUGAGUUAAGUCUGCUGUGAAAUCCCCGGGCUCAACCUGGGAAUGGCAGUGGAUACUGGCUCGCUAGAGUGUGUCAGAGGAUGGUGGAAUUCCCGGUGUAGCGGUGAAAUGCGUAGAGAUCGGGAGGAACAUCAGUGGCGAAGGCGGCCAUCUGGGACAACACUGACGCUGAGGCACGAAAGCGUGGGGAGCAAACAGGAUUAGAUACCCCGGUAGUCCCUGUCUCUUAUAC
rnacentral:rRNA from 1 species